GCUCAGGUGGUGAAAUGGUAUACACGCUAGCUUCAGGAGCUAGUGCCGUCAAAAGCGUGGGAGUUCGAAUCUCCCCCUGAGCA
rnacentral:tRNA from 5 species